AGUUACAGUUAAUUAUUCUUCUACUUGACAUGGACAUGCUGGGAGUCAGAAACAGCAAAUACAGAUACUAAUGGCUUCACUUUUUCCAACACGGGAGACUGGACCUAGGGCCUCAUCCAUGCUAAGGAAGUGCCAUGACCACGAGGCUGUAUCCCUAGCCUUCUUUUUUGUUCCUUGAGAUAGCCUCACCUGUUGCCCUGGUGGACCUGAACUCACCAUGUAGCCCAAGUGAGUCUAGAACUUAACAGUCUUCCCAAGGAAUUAUAAUUAUAGGCCUAUGGCCAACAGGCUUGACUGUAGCUUUUUCUCUCUGUUUCCUCACUUGAAAACAGAGGUGACAAUAACUGCCUCACGGUAUUCCUCUGAAGGCUAAACACUAACAGAAGAAAGGAUGUGACCCACCCUCCCCACCCCCACCCUGGGGAAUUCCCAAUGAAUUCUAAAUGUCACAUCUCCCUGUUCUAAGGGGCUCACACCAAUAAACGAGAAGACAGACCCGUAAUCUGGGUUUCCUGCAUCUGAAAUGCUCAUGCUAAGACACGGGAUACAUGUAAAUCAUGAUUUUUGCUUGUGUUCAAAGCAAAGGCUGCCUUAGAUGAAGGAAGUAUUUACAAUGAGUUACUACUGGGCUUACAUUCAGCUUCUCUGGUGUUCCAGCAGAAUGGAUGACAGACUCUUUGGAGUUGGUCCAGGCCUUGGGAAACGGUAUUUCUUCCCAAACCCCACACACCCCCGGCCCCAGUUAACUGCACUUCUUCCUCCUCCCAGGAGCGUCUUUGCGAAUGCCUCUCCCACAGACCCAGGCUGCCCACUGGCCCCAGGAUUCUUGGCGGACAGCACGGAGGGGCGGAAUACUAAAAGAGAGGGUUGGCUUCUAAACAAACGGAAGUCUGAGAGGGUGAAAGAGGAGUGAGGAGGGAGGUAAAGGAGAGUGAGUAGAUUUUCCGCAGAAGAUUCCCGAAGGCCAGAGGCCGGUUUUGCGGUCCCAUACUCCACCUUCCACCCCUCCCCCAAGCCUUCUUCCCAGUGCUGAAUUUUUAACGAGCCACCAGCCGGUUGCCUGCUCUUCGCCCCAGGGAGGGAGGAUCCCAGCGAGCCGGAGGAUCUGUCUGCUCCCGCUGCUUUGCACAGUUGGUCGCCCAGGUUUGGCUGUUAAAUGUGCCAGGCGUGGGAAAGCAAGCACACUGUUUUUUGACUAUACCUCAAAGAAUGGCAAAGACUUCUGGGAGAGAGAUUUGAAGGCAGUGGUCAAGGUCAAAAAGGAAUUAGCUUUGGGCAAGGGAUACAGGUCUAGCGUGUGCUUGCCAAGAAUGGUGGUCAAGCAUGGAAAACCAAAGAAUCAUUUCUUCUCUGUUACAGGAGACUACACCAGGUGUCUACCUCUUGACCUUGCUGGGAAAUAAUAAAAGAUUAAUUCUGUGUUACUCAGAGGCUUGAA